rnacentral:rRNA from 1 species
AUUGAACGCUGGCGGCAGGCCUAACACAUGCAAGUCGAGCGAGCGGCGGACGGGUGAGUAAUGUCUGGGAAACUGCCUGAUGGAGGGGGAUAACUACUGGAAACGGUAGCUAAUACCGCAUACCAUCAGAUGUGCCCAGAUGGGAUUGGCUAGUGGGUGGGGUAAUGGCUCACCUAGGCGACGAUCCCUAGCUGGUCUGAGAGGAUGACCAGCAACACGGGAACUGCGACACGGGCAAGACUCCUACGGGAGGAAGCAGGGGGGAAUCUUGGACAAGGGGCGAAAGCCUGAUGCAGCCAGGCCGCGUGUGUGAAGAAGGCCUUCGGGUUGUAAAGCACUUUCAGCGGGGAGGCGUUACCCGCAGAAGAAGCAACGGCGAACUCCGUGCCAGCAGCCGCGGUAAUAC